GACGAACGCUGGCGGCGUGCUUAACACAUGCAAGUCGAACGGAAAGGCCCUGCUUUUGUGGGGUGCUCGAGUGGCGAACGGGUGAGUAACACGUGAGUAACCUGCCCUUGACUUUGGGAUAACUUCAGGAAACUGGGGCUAAUACCGGAUAGGAGCUCCUGCUGCAUGGUGGGGGUUGGAAAGUUUCGGCGGUUGGGGAUGGACUCGCGGCUUAUCAGCUUGUUGGUGGGGUAGUGGCUUACCAAGGCUUUGACGGGUAGCCGGCCUGAGAGGGUGACCGGCCACAUUGGGACUGAGAUAAGGCCGAGACUCCUACGGGAGGCAGCAGUGGGGAAUAUUGCACAAGGGGCGGAAGCCUGAUGCAGCAACGCCGCGUGCGGGAUGACGGUCUUAGGGUUGUAAACCGCUUUCGCCUGUGACGAAGCGUGAGUGACGGUAAUGGGUAAAGAAGCACCGGCUAACUACGUG
rnacentral:rRNA from 1 species